rnacentral:misc_RNA from 1 species
GAAAUGCGAUAAGUAAUGUGAAUUGCAGAAUUCAGUGAAUCAUCGAAUCUUUGAACGCACAUUGCGCCCGACAGUAUUCUGGCGGGCAUGCCUGUUCGAGCGUCAUUACAACCCUCAGGCCCCCGGGCCUGGCGUUGGGGAUCGGCGGAAGCCCCCUGCGGGCACAACGCCGUCCCCCAAAUACAGUGGCGGUCCCGCCGCAGCUUCCAUUGCGUAGUAGCUAACACCUCGCAACUGGAGAGCGGCGCGGCCACGCCGUAAAACACCCAACUUCUGAAUGUUGACCUCGAAUCAGGUAGGAAUACCCGCUGAACUUAAGC